rnacentral:sRNA from 1 species
UGUAUAUGAACGCACAGCUGCUUCCAUUGC